rnacentral:rRNA from 1 species
UUCCGGUUGAUCCUGCCGGACCUGACUGCUAUCGGAUUGAUACUAAGCCAUGCUAGUCUUUGUAGUAAUACAAGGCAUACGGCUCAGUAACGCGUAGUCAACCUACCCUAUGGACGGGGAUAAUCUCGGGAAACUGAGCAUAAUACCCGGCAGACCACUUAUCCUGGAAUGGUUAGUGGUUAAAAUGAUUCGUCGCCAUAGGAUGGGACUGCGGCCUAUCAGCUUGUUGGUGAGGUAAUGGCCCACCAAGGCGAUUACAGGUACGGGCUCUGAGAGGAGAAGCCCGGAGAUGGGUACUGAGACAAGGACCCAGGCCCUAUGGGGCGCAGCAGGCGAGAAAACUUUGCAAUGUGCGAAAGCACGACAAGGUUAGUCCGAGUGAUUUCUGCUAAAGAAAUCUUUUGCUAGUUAUAAAACCACUAGUGAAUAAGGGGUGGGCAAGUUCUGGUGUCAGCCGCCGCGGUAAAACCAGCACCUCAAGUGGUCAGGAUGAUUAUUGGGCCUAAAGCAUCCGUAGCCGGCUCUGUAAGUUUUCGGUUAAAUCUAUGCGCUCAACGUAUGGGCUGCCGAAAAUACUGUAGAGAUAGGGAGUGGGAGAGGUAGACGGUACUCGGUAGGAAGGGGUAAAAUCCUUUGAUCUAUCGAUGACCACCUGUGGCGAAGGCGGUCUACCAGAACACGUUCGACGGUGAGGGAUGAAAGCUGGGGGAGCAAACCGGAUUAGAUACCCGGGUAGUCCCAGCUGUAAACGAUGCAGACUCGAUGAUGCAUUGGCAUAUAGCCAGUGCAGUGUCGCAGGGAAGCCGUUAAGUCUGCCGCCUGGGAAGUACGUACGCAAGUAUGAAACUUAAAGGAAUUGGCGGGGGAGCACCACAAGGGGUGAAGCCUGCGGUUCAAUUGGAUUCAACGCCGGG